GGAGGUGUCGCCAAGUCCGGUAAGGCACAAGGCUGCAACCCUUGCAUGCGUGGGUUCAAAUCCCACCACCUCCU
rnacentral:tRNA from 1 species